GAGAGAGAGAGUGAGAAAGAGAGAGAAUUAUUGAUUUGUCAGCAGGCUCUUAUGUAUUCUAUUGCAUAUUUUAAUUACUGCAUUUCAUUUGGAUAUAUCAAUUCAUCAGAUAUAUCAAAUCACGUAUCGCAGUGAAUAUUCAGAUCUGAACUGUGUACAUACAGGUGAUUCAACAUCGUAUUCAAAAGAAACGAUUUAUAUCAAAAAUUGGAGGAAAUAACCCUAGAGAUAACAUCCAUCGUACUCUGAAAAAGAUUUUUACUGAUGGAUGUGCCAUAAAUUGCUCUUGGAAGGGUAUACGUAACCAUUUUCGGUUAGAUAAUUUACAGCUUGUAAUAAUUAUAAAAAGAGAGAUUACCUUGCAUCAUAUGACACUCACGGAAACAGAAUUUGAUAAUAUCGCGGCUGAAUGGUUUCGUUUUGCUAAACAACGACAAAGAAGAGCGGAAAAGGGAAA